ACUUGUGCAUGAUUGUAUGGGGGCACUGGACUAACAUGGACUGUUGGAGUCUUUUUAUUUUAUUAUUUUAUGUGUGUUUUAAUUGGAUAGCAGCGCAGGAUGGAGAGCUUCGCUGGACUUACAGUGGAUUGGUGGGUCAGUCCCAGUGGUCCGAGCACUUCCCUGACUGCGCAGGAUCCUCUCAGUCCCCCGUCGACGUGGUAACCAGCCUGACCAAAUACGACCCCUCGCUGACCCCUAUGACCCCGCUGGGCUACAGUCAGCACAACCACCAGCCGUUCACGCUGCUCAAUAGUGGACACACAGUUAUGGUGUCCCUUCCCGGGUGGAUGGGUUUGGGGGGGCUGCCCUGGCUCUUCAGUGCUGUCCAGCUGCACCUGCACUGGGGGAGCGGCGGUCCCAGUCACGGGGGCAGUGAACACACCAUCGACGGGCUGAGCUCAGAGGCAGAGCUUCAUAUAGUCCACUACAACUCCGAGCUUUUCCCCAACGUCUCUGCAGCGAUGAGGCAGAAGAACGGACUGGCCGUUUUAGGGAUUCUCAUCGAGGCAGGUGACGAGACCAACCCAGGAUUUAACAAUAUCAUCCGCUACUUGAGUCGAGUCAGACAUGCAGAGCAGGAAGAUCUCAUUCCAGGGUUUGACAUUUCGUCGUUGUUGCCGAAAGACCUCAGCCGUUACUAUCGCUACAACGGCUCCCUGACCACGCCCCCCUGCUACCAGGAAGUCAUCUGGACCGUGUUUUACGAGAAGGUCAAGAUCUCCAAGGCCCAGUUGUUCAAAUUGGAGACGAUUCUUUAUUCGAGUAAAGUUGAGGAGAUGGACCGGAUGCUGCUGCAGGACAACUACAGAAACACACAACCGCUCAACAAGAGGGUCAUCUACAAGUCCUUCUCCACAGAACCGGGGAAGGAGUUGUCUUCAGGUGAAGUCACUGCGAUCGUCAUCGGUGUGAUCUGUGGAUGUGUGGGGGUCGCCGUCAUCAUUCGCUUUAUUAUAAAGACUAUUCGGGAAAACGAUGUUGGGAAAUCAAAAAGUAAAAAACAAGACAUGGAUGUGAAGUCCAGACCUGAAACGACAGAAGAGGUUGUCCUGUCUCCUGAAACAGAGCCUUAGCUGUGAACAUUUAAACACUGUAGAUUCUAGUUUAUUUAUUAGGGCUGCACAUGUUUCUAUUGAUGCACUUUCUGAUUGUUUUUGUCCUCGGUCUGACUGGAAAACUUUGAAAUACAAUGUUUGUAUUUGAGGCCUUAUAUUUGGAAACCAGGUAAACAAAAAUUUAAUAGUUUCAUAUAGUUUUUGACCAGAAUUUUGAUUAAAUAUCCCCUUUGAAAACUUUUUCUGGGAGCAGUUAGUGUUUGAAAUACAGUCGACUCUUUUCUAAUAUAGUGCAGCCCUGUGUUAUUACUUUAAUCACAAAGUCUUGAUUGACAUUCCUUAAUUGCAUAAACAUUAAAUUAUAGAUUAAUUUGUAUUGGGACGAGGGCCUUGCUAUUUCCACAGUGCACUUGUUUGUAUUUGUAAAAUUAUUUCAAAUUGUUUUAUGGUUCCCCCGCCUUAAAUGAAGUAGAGUAAGUCCAAAGUGAGAGUUCACAGAGGAUCAUGAUUUGUGUAGCCGUAAAACUGAAGACCUCACUGCUCCUGGUGGUUGAGUAUGUCGUGUGUGUGUGUGUUAUGUAUUUGUGUUGUAUGAGGGUUGUAAAUACAGUUUAAAUGUUCAAUAAAUGACGACGUGUUACUGUUUGUGUUUUUAUAGAAGCUCAGUAAUAGUAACAAGUGUAGUAAAAACUGAUAGUAGUUGUGAGCCCAUAUGGCUCUCUUUUCCUCUCUCUGUUUCUGUCUCUGUAUCUCUCUCUCUCGCUCUCUGUCUGUAUCUCUCUCUGUCUGGCUCUGUCUCUCUCUGUCUUUCUCUUUCUCCCUCUCUCUCUGUCUCUUUUUUUCUCUCUCUGUCUCUUUCUCUGUGUGUGUCUCUCUCUCAGUCACUUUCUCUCUCUCUCUCUGUGCCUCUCUCUCUGUCUCUCCCUCUCUCUCUCUGUCUUUCUCUCUCCCUCUCUGUCUUUCUCUCUCCCUCUCUCUGUCCGCUCGUCAGCGGAAGUGAGACUUGUUUGUGCGCUUGUGUCUCUCUCUCUGUCUCUGUCUCUUGUAGAUGUCGGAUAGACUCAUCUGGUCGCUGUCACUUCGCCUUUUGCUUUAGUUGUGGUUUCAGGGUCACAGUGGAAUGGCUGCCCUGUGGGUUUAUUUGCCUUUGUGCGCGUUUCUCCUGCUCGGGCAGGAGACUUGUGCCAAAAACGAGGCUCCGUGCCAACUUUCCAAAUGGAACAACGGCUUCCGGACGUUCUUAAAGCGCCACAUUCGCGAGGGCACACCCCGGUCCCUGGACCAGAACGAGUGGGAGAAGUACAUCCG